rnacentral:tRNA from 1 species
AUGGAUUUUUUAGUGAAAUUCACGUCAUUAUUUCAUGAUGAAGAUAUUAGACCUAUUUA